AUUGAACGCUGGCGGCAGGCCUAACACAUGCAAGUCGAACGAGUGGCGGACGGGUGAGUAAUGUCUGGGAAACUGCCUAAUGGAGGGGGAUAACUACUGGAAACGGUGGCUAAUACCACAUACCAUCGGAUGUGCCCAGAUGGGAUUAGCUUGUAGGUGGGGUAAAGGCUCACCUAGGCGACGAUCCCUAGCUGGUCUGAGAGGAGUACCAGCCAACCUGGACUUGAGACCCGGCCCAGCCUCCUACGGGAGGCAGCAGUGGGGAAUAUUGCACAAUGGGCGCAAGCCUGAUGCAGCCAUGCCGCGUGUAUGAAGAAGGCCUUCGGGUUGUAAAGUACUUUCAGCGGGGAGGCGUUACCCGCACAAGAAGCACCGGCUAACUCCGUGCCAGCAGCCGCGGUAAUUC
rnacentral:rRNA from 1 species